CGCCAAGAGUUGGAGCCACUAGAAACGGGCGCUCAACGCCUAAUUUGGGUGCUUAGGCUCUAUCAGUAAUAUCAAUACUCAUUUUUCUUUCUUUGAACACUUUACCCACAAGUUUGAAAGGUUCCUAAGACCUUCUAAAUACUAUAAAACUUUAGAAAACACAUCACUAACUCAAAUUAACCAUCCAAAACCCAAUAUCACUUACCUAAGUUUCUCAAACUGAAUUCUACCUUUUCUAACUUCUAUAUUAGCAAACCAAAUACAUAACCAAGUCUAAAUACAUUUGUUAGCACCCUCCAACCCCUCAAAUUACUCCCAGCCAUGCUGUUUCAAAAUCUCAGCUUGCAAACCUCAAAAUUGACCAAAAGUUCCGAGAAACUCACUUUAAGUUGACUCCAACAAUUCUAUACUAUAUUUCUUUCAUUUAAAUCCUUAGACCGGUCAUAAUAGUCUUCAUAACAACCUCCUAACUGCUCAAACCAAUCUCCACUGCCUACAACCAAUUCUUACUACUCAAAACCUCCUUUUUAUACUACAAUACUUCCAAACUUGAACCAUGAAUCCUCUUCUUUGUCCCAUAUCAGGUUUCCCUCAAACUAACACUUCUAGUAAGUCAAAAAUAAUUCCAUAACAGUACUAAAUCAAUUCCUUCAUCACUUCAACACCAACCUCUAAAACUCAUCCAUCAAACCCC
rnacentral:lncRNA from 1 species